AACAGACUUACCCCAAUGUGACUCCUCGCCCAGCUAGCAGGGUCAGGCAUAGGCUCCACUGACCAGAGCCACAGAGAGCAUGUCAAGGAAUGUCCACUGCCUUUGGCAUGUGUUGAGACUUUUCCAUUGAACUGCCUAGCAGCCAGAGACUAUGAGCAUAAAACUGACUCACAAGCCGAGGCCUAUCAAGAGUGAUCUGUAACCCCCAGGAGCUGAGGACUGUGCAGGGUGAACGAGAAGCAGCUCCUUGCAUGUGGCCUGUGAACUCUGAGUCAGGUGCUUCACAGAGCUCUUCCAGGUACUUGUGCCGAGGCCUCUGCAGUGGUUUUUCACAGCAUAGUGUUUAGUAUAUUUAACGGGCAUAUUCCCUCAAGGUGCACACUUGGCUUUUACGAAUGCCCUGUACAUAUCUUUUCAAACUCUGUCUUUGUAUAGACAUUGAUUUGAUAUAAUGCUAACAAGUAGCCACAUUUUUGUUUGUUUGAGACUGUGUAUGUGUGUGUACGUGUGUAUGUGUACAUGUGGGCAUGUUGUCUUUUCUCAUUGUUUUUAUGAAAUGAUAGCUGGUAUGUGGUUCUAUUUGUUCCAGGAAGGAUCUUCUCUGAAGGGAAGACUGUCUUCAUCUUGUAGGACCUGUACUCUGUGGGGCCCCCUCCCACUCACAUGCCUAUUCUAUAGGUGUCAGCAGUUGAAGGAAAUCUGAGAACUCCAGAGAGAGAGAGAGAGAGAGACAGAGAGAGACAGAGAGAGACAGAGAGAGACAGAGACACAGAGACAGAGACAGAGACACAGAGAGACAGAAAGAGGGAGAGAGAGAAUGAGUGUGUGUGGGGAGAAUGAGUAUGUGUGAGAGAGAGAGAGUGUGUGUGUGACAGAGAGAAAGAGAAUGAGUGUGUGUGUGAGAGAGACAGAGAGAGAGAGAGAGAGAGAGAGAGAGAGAGAGAGAGAGAGAGUGAGUAUGUGUGUGUGUGUGUGUGUGUGUGUGUGUGUGUGUGUGUGUGUGUGUGUGAUUUUGACUUUCAGAAUGGUGGGGUUAGUUACUUAGAUAUUUUUCACUAAAAAAUGAAAAGGCUUUAAAUUUUUCCUUAAAAUAUUAUUGUCACUUGUUUUCAACCUAAACCUUUUUAAGACUUUUUACAUAAGAAUGGCAACCCUGUCAGUCCCCUCCCAGACUGCCCAUCACUUCGGGUUUUCAAAACGAAAGCACAAAAGAGUGGGCGCACAGGUGCCUGGCAUGUGCAUACCCCUGCACAGCUGUGUUGCGCCCUGGCUGAUCACAGAGGUAUGAUCCUGAGCAGUUGGACCUGGGAAACUGAGGCCUCCUCUGCUAGUUGCCAACCCCACUGCCAUUAGUGUGAAUUCCUUAGGGUGCUCCAGCAAAUAAGCAUCUGCCCAAUUGUUUGGACAUUGUCUUUUUGGUAGUCAAAGCAUUAGGGAUUAGGGACAGCAGUGUUUUCUGUUUAAGCAGUUAGAGCCAGAUGCUUCCCCUCUCCCAGUGGAUGGUGACUCCCCAGAUCCCAGCCAGAGUUGAUGGAUCUUUUGACAACCAAAUGGCAUCCCAUUAGAAAACCAAGAAAAAACCCAGCAUUGCUACUAGAUUGUCUUUUAAUUCAAGUGAGAGCAAAAUGGCAGAGAAAGGCUGUGAGUCCCCAGGCCUGUGUCUUUUCAGAAUAGUGUGUGUGCCCUGAUUAUGUGUUUGCUCACAGUCAAGCUUGAGCUGCUUCCAGGCUGGGCUGCUUUUCGCUUGUGAAGUGCUGAAGCUCCAUUCCCAGGCGCCACCAAUUCUGAAUCAGUCACAUCUUCCCCACCAAAGUCUCUUAAUACUAAUCAGUAUAAUUAGCUAAUUUUAGACUGCUGUAAUCAGCCUGCUUCCAACUACAGUAAAAGCCCAUUAAUUUGAGCCCACUAAUUCAGAACUUAGAGGAAAUCCAAAUUGGAGAUAAUUCACAGUAACUGCUAUUCUUGCUACAUAAAAGUAUUUGAAAGUGUCUUUCCUUCAGUUAGUCUUCAGGGGCUUCUUUGUGAAAGGAAUUCGGUUUAAAAUUGGUACCUUUUUCAAAGGAAAAGCUCGAGGUAUCAAGGAUCCCUUCAUUGUGCCUUCAGCUUGGAGUUUAGCAGUUCUUGUGUGUAAGGCUCUUUCUGUGCAGCGUGAUCCCUUGUUCUCUCUCCAUUGUGGGAAUGUUAGAUAUUGCAGCCUUUCAUUCUGUGUCUGUAUUUAUCCUGUGAACAAUAUAGUUCGUGAUCUUGACUGCAAUUCCAACACAAGUACACGUUUUCCUAAGUGUUCUGUAAAGCAGAUGUUGCACUAGCAGACUGCCUGCUCUCAUUCACCCCCAAGUCUUCAAACUUGGAGCUUCUCCUUUCCCAGGCUGUAUGAGGCGAAUUUCUCUCAACCAAGAAUUUCUGUGACAAAGAUCUCCAAACAGCACACCCCCUCAGCUCAAUGCCUCAACAGUUGUUUCACUGUACUGCUAUCUGACCGCUGAACGUGCCUGCCCUUCUCCAGCUCCCAGCGAGCAUUAAGAAUGAUAUCUAGGACUGGGACCAGCCCUCCAGCUGCUUUUGCCUCCCCACCUGUCUUGCCUCACUGAUGCCACUUUCCCAGGCCAGAAUUCACCUGCUAUUUUACUCUGUCAUUGUGAAUUUGUGACAGUGACAACCCCAAUAUGUGCAACUGAGCUUAUAGAAACGAUUGCUGUGAAAUGGAUUAAUUUUGGUACCAUUUGAAACUGUGCUUGUAUUUCAUGUGCUGACAGAUGUAAGCUGGGACAUCUGUACAUUUAAUCCUAUGUUGGGAUUUCAAAUGGAGCCCAGGGCAACAAACCAACUUGCUUCUUAGCUUUCUCAUGCACGCUCUCUGGCUCCCUUUUUACAGUUUAGCUGUUAGUUUUUGUCUCUGUAUAAGAAAAUAAUGAGUAAAAAUAAAAAGCAAAUGGCAUCCA
rnacentral:lncRNA from 1 species